GACGAACGCUGGCGGCGUGCUUAACACAUGCAAGUCGAACGGAAAGGCCCUGCUUUUGUGGGGUGCUCGAGUGGCGAACGGGUGAGUAACACGUGAGUAAGCUGCCCUUGACUUUGGGAUAACUUCAGGAAACUGGGGCUAAUACCGGCUAGGAGCUCCUGCUGCAUGGUGGGGGUUGGAAAGUUUCGGCGGUUGGGGAUGGACUCGGGGCUUACCAGCUUGUUGGUGGGGUAGUGGCUUACCAAGGCUUUGACGGGUAGCCGGCCUGAGAGGGUGAACGGCCACAUUGGGACUGAGAUACGGCCCAGACUCCUACGGGAGGCAGCAGUGGGGAAUAUUGCACAAUGGGGGGAAGCCUGAUGCAGCAACGCCGCGUGCGGGAUGACGGCCUUCGGGGUGUAAACCGCUUUCGCCUGUGACGAAGCGUGAGUGACGGUAAUGGGUAAAGAAGCACCGGCUAACUACGUG
rnacentral:rRNA from 1 species